rnacentral:rRNA from 1 species
GACGAACGCUGGCGGCGUGCCUAAUACAUGCAAGUCGAGCGAGCGGAACUAACAGAUUUACCUCGGUAAUGACGUUAGGAAAGCGAGCGGCGGAUGGGUGAGUAACACGUGGGGAACCUGCCCCAUAGUCUGGGAUACCACUUGGAAACAGGUGCUAAUACCGGAUAAGAAAGCAGAUCGCAUGAUCAGCUUUUAAAAGGCGGCGUAAGCUGUCGCUAUGGGAUGGCCCCGCGGUGCAUUAGCUAGUUGGUAAGGUAAAGGCUUACCAAGGCGAUGAUGCAUAGCCGAGUUGAGAGACUGAUCGGCCACAUUGGGACUGAGACACGGCCCAAACUCCUACGGGAGGCAGCAGUAGGGAAUCUUCCACAAUGGACGCAAGUCUGAUGGAGCAACGCCGCGUGAGUGAAGAAGGUUUUCGGAUCGUAAAGCUCUGUUGUUGGAGAAGAAGGAUAGAGGUAGUAACUGGCCUUUAUUUGACGGUAAUCAACCAGAAAGUCACGGCUAACUACGUG